UCUGUUACGAUGGAAUUUCCCCCAGAGUGCUGCACGAAAGCCAUGCUAGCUAUUUAGUUCCCUAAUUUAGCUAGCUACCACCUAACAUGAGCCGACAGCCUAGCUUACUACAGCUCCCACAUUCCUUUACUGCAUUUUCUACGAAUCAAGAAAGUAAAGAAAUGUAAUAAACUCAAGGCUUACCUGGGACCUGAGCCCUAGGACCAUGCCCCAGGACUACCUGACAUGAUGACUCCUUGCUGUCCCCAGUCCACCUGGCCAUGCUGCUGCUCCAGUUUCAACUGGCCUGGGCCCUAGGACCAUGUCCCAGGACUACCUGACAUGAUGACUCCUUGCUGUCCCCAGUCCACCUGGCCAUGCUGCUGCUCCAGUUUCAACUGUUCUGCCUUACUAUUAUUCAACCAUGCUGGUCAUUUAUGAACAUUUGAACAUCUUGGCCACGUUCUGUUAUAAUCUCCACCCGGCACAGCCAGAAGAGGACUGGCCACCCCACAUAUGCUCUCUCUAAUUCUCUCUUUCUUUCUCUCUCUCUCUCGGAGGACCUGAGCCCUAGGACCGUGCCCCAGGACUACCUGACAUGAUGACUCCUUGUUGUCCCCAGUCCACCUGACUGUGCUGCUGCUCCAGUUUCAACUGUUCUGCCUUAUUAUUAUUCGACCAUGCUGGUCAUUUAUGAACAUUUGAACAUCUUGGUCAUGUUCUGUUAUAAUCUCUACCCGGCACAGCCAGAAGAGGACUGGCCACCCCACAUAGCCUGGUUCCUCUCUAGGUUUCUUCCUAGGUUUUGGCCUUUCUAGGGAGUUUUUCCUAGCCACCGUGCUUUUACACCUGCAUUGUUUGCUGUUUGGGGUUUUAGGCUGGGUUUCUGUACAGCACUUUGAGAUAUCAGCUGAUGUACGAAGGGCUAUAUAAAUCAAUUUGAUUUGAUUUGAUUAUU